GUAGAAGGAGGAGGAGGAGGAAGAGGAAGGAGGCACCUUUUAGUAGACUCUGUAGAUCAAUCCAGAUCUGUCACAACAGAACCGCCUUCGAAAUUUGGAGCUUUAUAUUUUUGUCGCAUGCGAUUCUAAUAUUUUUUCACUAUUUAAGUGAAAUUAAGCAAUAGUUGAUUUAAAAGAAGGGAAAGCAUUGAAUUUAGUGCGUGUGCGUGUGCGUGUGCGUGUGCGUGUGAGAGAGGGAGAGAGGUAGGGAGGCGUGGCGCGGAGAGAUGAAUGUGAGCCAUGCGUCCGUUCACCCGUUGGAAGAUCCUCCGACGACGGACGGUGGAAACAACAAUAACAACGCGCCGAGAGUGAGAAUGAAGGACAUACAAGGAAUGCCUGGCACGAAAGGUGGCCUCGCCUUGCGUAUCUUUCAGUUUUUCUUUGCGGCUGCGGCGCUUGCUGUCAUGGCUGCCACCAGUGACUUCCCUUCCGUAACUGCUUUCUGUUACCUUGUUGCGGCUGCUGGUUUGCAGUGUUU
rnacentral:misc_RNA from 1 species